rnacentral:rRNA from 1 species
GACGAACGCUGGCGGCGUGCUUAACACAUGCAAGUCGAACGGAAAGGCCCUGCUUUUGUGGGGUUCUCGAGUGGCGAACGGGUGAGUAACACGUGAGUAACCUGCCCUUGACUUUGGGAUAACUUCAGGAAACUGGGGCUAAUACCGGAUAGGAGCUGCUGCUGCAUGGUGGGGGUUGGAAAGUUUCGGCGGUUGGGGAUGGACUCGCGGCUUAUCAGCUUGUUGGUGGGGUAGUGGCUUACCAAGGCUUUGACGGGUAGCCGGCCUGAGAGGGUGACCGGCCACAUUGGGACUGAGAUACGGCGCAGACUCCUACGGGAGGCAGCAGGGGGGAAUAUUGCACAAUGGGCGGAAGCCUGAUGCAGCAACGCCGCGUGCGGGAUGACGGCCUUCGGGUUGUAAACCGCUGUCGCCUGUGACGAAGCGUGAGUGACGGUAAUGGGUAAAGAAGCACCGGCUAACUACGUG